AUGGAGACCCAUUAUAUAACUGGCCAUGGCAAACUUUGGACUUCCUUCCCAAGGCACAGUUGGGAUGUACACAGGCGUCCUUAUCAAAGGGGAAGGCUUCCAACACACAUAAAGAGAUUCACCUUUCUGCAAGUUACCACUGAGGGACUAGAGGUGGAAGUGAAUCCGGAAUGGAGAACUCACACCUGCGGUUUUGAUGUUAGUUUCCAGAGGAAAAUGAUUUGCCUAACCCAACAAAAUGCAUUCAGAAGGUGUGGAAAGAACCUUAGACAGUGGGUGUAUCACCAACUUGUAUUUCUGAAUGCCCACCUCAAGCUUUUUGACUUUUCAUCCUGAAGAGGUUGGUAAUGCUUCUUGAGUGCCCAGAAGAAGCAAUCAUGGAGGACAUUCUGUCUAAGCUAACUUAGAUUUGGAAAAAUAACUGUAUGCCUUAAACUGUUCUUAAAAUGGAGGCAGUCAUUUGUAUCAUUUUCCAGAGUAACCUUGGAAAUGUCCCUCCUAUAUCACUCUCCCCAUUAAAAAAAAAUCAAUUUCCUUAUCUUGUUCUUAUUUUUUUUAAGAUUUUAUUUAUGUAUUCAUGAGAGACACAGAGAGAAAGAGGCAGAGACAGAAGGCAGAGAGCCUCAUGUGGGACUCGAUCCCGGGACUCCAGGAUCACGCCAUCCUGAGUCGAAGGGAGAUGCUCCACCACUGAGCCACCCAGGGUCCCAAUCCUUAUCUUGUUCUUAAAAUACAGUCUUUCACAAAGCUUAAGAGACUGGCCCAACCUAAUUCUCCAUUUUGUUUUGUCUCCACUUCUGGUGCCAUUCUCUGAACUCCCUCAUCAACCACGUUAUCCAGCAUAUCAGUCAUUCCUUAACAUGCCAUCUCAUCUCACCACAGGGCCAUAAGAGAUGCUGUCCUCUCUACCAGGGACCCUCUUCACUUCCUCUACCCUGCCAUACCCCACUAGCUGACCAGUUGAAUUCUCACUUAUUCAAAUCUUGGCUCAAGUCUUUAUUGAUCACCUUC
rnacentral:lncRNA from 1 species